GACAGAGGGUGCAAACGUUGUUCGGAAUUACUGGGCGUAAAGCGCGUGUAGGCGGCCCUGCAAGUCGGAUGUGAAAUCCCACGGCUCAACCGUGGAAGUGCAUUCGAAACUGCAGGGCUAGAGUCCUGGAGAGGAAGGUGGAAUGCUUGGUGUAGAGGUGAAAUUCGUAGAUAUCGGAAGGAACAUCAGUGGCGAAGGCGACUUCCUGGACCAAUACUGACGCUGAGGCACGAAAGCGUGGGGAGCAAACAGG
rnacentral:rRNA from 1 species